rnacentral:rRNA from 1 species
UCGACCUGAGGUCAGGCAAGAACACCCGCUGAACUUAAGCAUAUCAAUAAGCGGAGGAAAACUCC